rnacentral:rRNA from 1 species
AGAUUGAACGCUGGCGGCAUGCCUAACACAUGCAAGUCGAGCGGCAGCGCGGGGGCGACCCUGGCGGCGAGCGGCGGACGGGUGAGUAACACGUGAGCAACCUACCCCAGAGACUGGGAUAACACCGGGAAACCGGUGCUAAUACCAGAUGUCUUCCCUUGACCGCAUGAUCGGGGGAAGAAAUGAAUUUCGCUCUGGGAGGGCUCGCGGUCCAUCAGCUUGUUGGCGGGGUAACGGCCCACCAAGGCAUCGACGGAUAGCUGGUCUGAGAGGACGAUCAGCCACACUGGAACUGAGACACGGUCCAGACUCCUACGGGCGGCAGC